rnacentral:rRNA from 1 species
UACGUAGGCAGCAAGCGUUGUUCGGAAUUACUGGGCGUAAAGAGUGUGUAGGCGGUGCUCUAAGUUCGGUGUGAAAUCUCCCGGCUCAACUGGGAGGGUGCGCCGGAAACUGGGGUGCUGGAGCGCGUGAGAGGAAAGCGGAAUUCCUGGUGUAGCGGUGAAAUGCGUAGAUAUCAGGAGGAACACCGGCGGUGUAGACGGCUCUCUGGACCGUAGCUGACGCUGAGACACGAAAGCGUGGGUAGCAAACAGG